AGAGUUUGAUCAUGGCUCAGAUUGAACGCUGGCGGCAGGCCUAACACAUGCAAGUCGAGCGGAUGACAGGAGCUUGCUCCUGAAUUCAGCGGCGGACGGGUGAGUAAUGCCUAGGAAUCUGCCUGGUAGUGGGGGACAACGUUUCGAAAGGAACGCUAAUACCGCAUACGUCCUACGGGAGAAAGCAGGGGACCUUCGGGCCUUGCGCUAUCAGAUGAGCCUAGGUCGGAUUAGCUAGUUGGUGAGGUAAUGGCUCACCAAGGCGACGAUCCGUAACUGGUCUGAGAGGAUGAUCAGUCACACUGGAACUGAGACACGGUCCAGACUCCUACGGGAGGCAGCAGUGGGGAAUAUUGGACAAUGGGCGAAAGCCUGAUCCAGCCAUGCCGCGUGUGUGAAGAAGGUCUUCGGAUUGUAAAGCACUUUAAGUUGGGAGGAAGGGCAUUAACCUAAUACGUUAGUGUUUUGACGUUGCCGACAGAAUAAGCACCGGCUAACUCUGUGCCAGCAGCCGCGGUAAUACAGAGGGUGCAAGCGUUAAUCGGAAUUACUGGGCGUAAAGCGCGCGUAGGUGGUUCGUUAAGUUGGAUGUGAAAGCCCCGGGCUCAACCUGGGAACUGCAUUCAAAACUGACGAGCUAGAGUAUGGUAGAGGGUAGUGGAAUUCCCGGUAGUGGUGAAAUGCGUAGAUAUCGGGAGGAACACCAGUGGCGAAGGCGACUACCUGGCCUGUUCUUGACGCUGAGGCGCGAAAGCUAGGGGAGCAAACGGGAUUAGAUACCCUAGUAGUCC
rnacentral:rRNA from 1 species